AUUGAGUGUGGAUAUUGUCUAGAUGAUAAUAUUCUUGUUUAAAUUCUCAGCUAUGUUUUGUCGUAUUUUGCACGACUGUUGUAUAAUUAAGUUGUAUUUGAAUUUAUGUAUCAUGUAGAUGGGUGAUGUAUACCUAUUUUGGGGGCGUCACGUGUAUGGUUGUAUGUAUGUAUGUAUGUAUGUGAGACCCCAAAUUUUAUGAAUAAAGAUUUAAAUUUCUCGAAAUAUUUUUUUGAAUAUUAUGGUGUGGAUUUGAUAUAAUGUUACAGUUGUGGGUAAUAUUUAUAAAUUUUGUAAAGUAAGCAAGUUGUUAUAUAAUAUUCGAUUAGUCGAGGAAUAUUCGUUUUAACAGGGAAUAUUCGUACAACGGCACAAUCAUUGGUGGAACCCACAACGGAAGUAUUGUCGUAGUUAAAAAACGACAAAAUUAUCUUUUUAUAAAAAUAACGGCGAAAGUGUUACCGUUAAAACUAUUGAGCUACUCGGUAGUAAAAGUACAGUAAUACGCG
rnacentral:lncRNA from 1 species